GCCAGGGUGCCGUAGUGGUUAGCGCAUCUGCUUGGCAAGCAGGAGACCUUGGUUCGAAUCCAGGCCUUGAUA